rnacentral:ncRNA from 12 species
AUGCUCCGAGGAUAGAACGGGCAGCUAUCGCCAAUGUGGAGAUGCGUGAGUGCCGACACGCCGGAGCAA